rnacentral:rRNA from 1 species
UUUCGAAUCAUUCACAAUGGGCGAAAGCCUGAUGGUGCGACGCCGCGUGAGGGAUGAAGGUCUUCGGAUUGUAAACCUCUGUCACCGGGGAAAAACCGUCAUCAGCCAAAACCUGAUGACCUGAUCUAACCCGGAGAGGAAGCAGUGGCUAACUCUGUGCCAGCAGCCGCGGUAAUACAGAGACUGCAAGCGUUAUUCGGAUUCACUGGGCGUAAAGGGUGCGCAGGCGGCCUUGUGUGUCGGGUGUGAAAUCUCGAAGCUUAACUUCGAAACUGCGCCCGAAACUACUAGGCUAGAGUAUUGGCGAGGGUAGUGGAAUUCACGGUGUAGCAGUGAAAUGCGUAGAUAUCGUGAGGAACACCAGAGGCGAAGGCGACUACCUGGACAAUUACUGACGCUC